rnacentral:rRNA from 1 species
AAGGAAUAUUGCUCAAUGGGAGAAAUCCUGAAGCAGCAACGCCGCGUGGAGGAUGAAGGGUCUAUGACUUGUAAACUCCUGUAAAGAAGGAAAAAAUUCCCAUUAGAUGGGAGAUGAUGGUACUUCUGGAGUAAGCCCCGGCUAACUACGUGCCAGCAGCCGCGGUAAUACGUAGGGGGCAAGCGUUGUCCGGAUUUACUGGGUGUAAAGGGUGCUCAGGCGGAUUUGUAAGUCAGAGGUGAAAUCUUACAGCUUAACUGUGAAACUGCCUUUGAUACUGCAAGCCUAGAGUAUGGAAGAGAGUGAUGGAAUAUCUGGUGAAGCAGUGAAAUGCGUAGAUAUCAGAUAGAACACCAAUGGCGAAGGCAGUCGCUUGGUCCAUUACUGACGCUAAAGCGCGAAAGCGUGGGUAGCAAACA